CACACAGACAGACACAUGUACACACACACACACACACACACACACACACACACACACACAUAUUUUCAGAUCUGAUGUGUAUGGAAUUCCUGCCAGCUUUACCUUUAAAGUGUAGUAAUUCCAAAUGUUGUUUCCAAAUUCACCUUCCCACCCCCACCACUUGGUAACUAUAGUGCUUCCCUCACAAGGCCAAGUGCAGAGUUUUCUUGGGGAAAUAAUGAGAACUAUUAUACAUUCUUGUUUCAAGGACCCUUAAAAUUAUAAGAUUACCAUAUUUGAUACUAAUUUAAGCUUCUGUCAUUGCCCCUUUUUCAAUCCAGUCUCCACACAGCUACCACAGUGUGCAAGUAGAAGUCUCAGCCAUAUCACCACACUCCUGCUUUAAUGUCCCUACUCCAUUGCUUCUUUUCUCCUUCAGAAGAGUUUAAGCUUAAUGAAGCUGGGCAACUUCACAUAUUUUUCCACGAGCUGGAGAUCACUUGGUGUAAG
rnacentral:lncRNA from 1 species